GGUUAAGUGACUAAGCGUACACGGUGGAUGCCUGGGCAGUCAGAGGCGAUGAAGGACGUACUAACUUGCGAUAAGCGCAGAUAAGGCAGUAAGAGCCGUUUGAGUCUGCGAUUUCCGAAUGGGGAAACCCAACUGCAUAAGCAGUUACUGUUAACUGAAUACAUAGGUUAACAGAGCAAACCGGGGGAACUGAAACAUCUAAGUACCCCGAGGAGAAGAAAUCAACCGAGAUUCCGGUAGUAGCGGCGAGCGAACCUGGAUUAGCCCUUAAGCACUCGGUGAAGUAGGUGAACAAGCUGGAAAGCUUGGCGAUACAGGGUGAUAGCCCCGUAACCGACGCUUCAUCGAGCGUGAAAUCGAGUAGGGCGGGACACGUGAUAUCCUGUCUGAAUAUGGGGGGACCAUCCUCCAAGGCUAAAUACUCCUGACUGACCGAUAGUGAACCAGUACCGUGAGGGAAAGGCGAAAAGAACCCCUGUGAGGGGAGUGAAAUAGAACCUGAAACCGUGUACGUACAAGCAGUAGGAGCACCUUCGUGGUGUGACUGCGUACCUUUUGUAUAAUGGGUCAGCGACUUAUAUUCAGUGGCAAGGUUAACCGUAUAGGGGAGCCGUAGCGAAAGCGAGUCUUAACUGGGCGCUCAGUCUCUGGAUAUAGACCCGAAACCGGGUGAUCUAGCCAUGGGCAGGUUGAAGGUUGAGUAACAUCAACUGGAGGACCGAACCGACUAAUGUUGAAAAAUUAGCGGAUGACUUGUGGCUA
rnacentral:rRNA from 1 species